rnacentral:rRNA from 1 species
CCUACGGGUGGCAGCAGUGGGGGAUAUUGGGCAAUGGGGGCAACCCUGAUCCAGCAACGCCGCGUGAAUGAAGAAGUCUUUCGGGUUGUAAACCUCUAUCAUCAGGGACGAAAGAAAUGACGGUACCUGAGUAAUAAGCCCCGGCUAACUACGUGCCAGCAGCCGCGGUAAUACGUAGGUGGCAAGCGUUAUCCGGAUUUACUGGGUGUAAAGGGAGCGUAGGCGGUAAUGCAAGUCUGGAGUGAAAGGCGGGGGCCCAACCCGCGGCCUGCUCUGGAAACUGUGGAACUGGAGUGCAGGAGAGGCAGGCGGAAUGCCUAGUGUAGCGGUGAAAUGCGUAGAUAUUAGGAGGAACACCAGUGGCGAAGGCGGUCUGCUGGACAGCAACUGACGUUGAGGCGCGAAAGCGUGGGGAGCAAACAGGAUUAGAUACCCGUGUAGUC